GACCUCGGAUCAGGUAGGGAUACCCGCUGAACUUAAGCAUAUCAAUAAGCGGAGGAAAAGAAACCAACAGGGAUUGCCUCAGUAACGGCGAGUGAAGCGGCAACAACUCAAAUUUGAAAUCUGGCUCUUUCAGGGUCCGAGUUGUAAUUUGUAGAAGAUGCUUUGGGUGUGGCUCCGGUCUAAGUUCCUUGGAACAGGACGUCAUAGAGGGUGAGAAUCCCGUAUGUGACUGGUUGCCUUCGCCCGUGUAAAGCUCUUUCGACGAGUCGAGUUGUUUGGGAAUGCAGCUCAAAAUGGGUGGUAAAUUUCAUCUAAAGCUAAAUAUUGGUCAGAGACCGAUAGCGCACAAGUAGAGUGAUCGAAAGAUGAAAAGCACUUUGGAAAGAGAGUUAAACAGUACGUGAAAUUGUUGAAAGGGAAGCGC
rnacentral:rRNA from 1 species